rnacentral:lncRNA from 1 species
GUGAAGCCAGGUAAAAAUUUGCUUGACAAUGAACUCAGAUCUACUGGAUGAGUCUCUUCCUCUUCUGCUUCUGGAUCAGAUGAAUUUACUACACUGAACAAUAAUGUUCCAUCUCCAUUUUUUUUCAGAUAACCGAUCUUGCUGUUGGGGAGAUAUCGAUUGAUCCUAUCCCGAGCUUCAUCUGCUGCAUGUUCCACUAGUGCUAGGACAUGUUCUUCAGCAGUGCUAUCUGUCAGGCUGCAUGCAUUUCCUUCAGGUUCAAAUAUGCAACUAAUAACUUCUUUAUUUUGCUUUUUGGAUUUCUUGGUAGUCUCUACUUGUACAGGCAUAACUUCAGGGACAGGCUCCUCAACCACUGUGUCUUCAUCACCCAAAAGAGCUGCUUUGCUCAUCAUCUUAAAGCCUGUGUGUAGUAUCUUCUUGGCUAGCUUGUAGUAAAC